GGGUGACUGAUUGUCCCUGCCAGCUGGCUAAUAUCAUAAUUAACAAAGUUGCUCCCACAUCUGCAAAGUUUAAUCGAAAAAUUUACCAGUGGUAUGAUGGCAUUGUCACCAAGAUCACAAGGGACUCGGAGUCGGCUUCUGCUCCAGGUGGAACGGCAGGGCUGUGUAGCCGAGAGGAGAAAGUGGUGUACUUGUUCAGCCGAA
rnacentral:lncRNA from 1 species